UCCCUGUAGUUUACACCACAGAGUGAUACCUGAACCUAGGAGAUCUUGCCAACCCAGGGAUCAAAGCCAAGUCUCCUGCAUUUACUGCAUCAGCAGGCAGAUUCUUCACCACUGUGUCACCUGGAAAGCUGGAAGCUUCAAAAUGUGUACUACUGAUUAGAAACUAAUCUUUAUCUUUUUUUAGAUACUUGUCUACUCACCUUGUGGAAAUAAUCCAUGAUAUUGUUUCUGCCACAUAAAUCUUUACAUUUCAACUUUCUGGAAUGAAAUUUUUUAAAUGCAGAAAUAAAGGAGUUAUUACUUAAGCCCUUAA